AGAGUUUGAUCCUGGCUCAGAUUGAACGCUGGCGGAAUGCUUUACACAUGCAAGUCGAACGGCAGCACGGGGGCAACCCUGGUGGCGAGUGGCGAACGGGUGAGUAAUACAUCGGAACGUGCCCAAUCGUGGGGGAUAACGUAGCGAAAGCUACGCUAAUACCGCAUACGAUCUACGGAUGAAAGCGGGGGAUCGCAAGACCUCGCGCGAAUGGAGCGGCCGAUGGCAGAUUAGGUAGUUGGUGGGGUAAAGGCUCACCAAGCCGACGAUCUGUAGCUGGUCUGAGAGGAUGGCCAGCCACAUUGGGACUGAGAUGCGGCCAGACUCCUACGGGAGGCAGCAGGUGGGGAAUAUUGCGCAAUGGACCGAAAGGCUGACGCAGCGACGCCGCGUGGGGAUGAAGCAUUUCGGUGUGUAAACCCCUGUUGCCCGGGACGAACAACUGGUUUUGACCAGUCUGACGGUACCGGGUGAGGAAGCACCGGCUAACUCCGUG
rnacentral:rRNA from 1 species